AGUCGCGAACGGGUGAGUAACGCGUAGGUAACCUACCUUAUAGCGGGGGAUAACUAUUGGAAACGAUAGCUAAUACCGCAUAAGAGUUGACAACACAUGUUGUUAAUUUAAAAGGAGCAAUUGCUUCACUAUGAGAUGGACCUGCGUUGUAUUAGCUAGUUGGUAAGGUAACGGCUUACCAAGGCUUCGAUACAUAGCCGACCUGAGAGGGUGAUCGGCCACACUGGGACUGAGACACGGCCCAGACUCCUACGGGAGGCAGCAGUAGGGAAUCUUCGGCAAUGGGGGGAACCCUGACCGAGCAACGCCGCGUGAGUGAAGAAGGUUUUCGGAUCGUAAAGCUCUGUUAUAAGCGAAGAACGGGAGUAAGAGUGGAAAGUUUACUCUGUGACGGUAGCUUAUCAGAAAGGGACGGCUAACUACGUGCCAGCAGCCGCGGUAAUACGUAGGUCCCGAGCGUUGUCCGGAUUUAUUGGGCGUAAAGCGAGCGCAGGUGGUUUAAUAAGUCUGAAGUUAAAGGCAUUGGCUCAACCAAUGUACGCUUUGGAAACUGUUAAACUUGAGUGCAGAAAGGGAGAGUGGAAUUCCAUGUGUAGCGGUGAAAUGCGUAGAUAUAUGGAGGAACACCGGUGGCGAAAGCG
rnacentral:rRNA from 1 species